ensembl:lncRNA
AACUACUACUGCACAAACUACAACACCCGAACAAACUACAUCCACUACCAUGGUGCCAACAACCACUUCACCUGAACCAACUACUACCACUACCAGUGAGCCAACUACUACCCCUGAAAAAACUACCACAACUCCUGAACAAACUACCACUACUUAUUCAACAACUACACCUGAACCAACUACUACUACUGAUGAACUAACAACAUUGACAACAACUGUUAGAACUACAACCACUACCAGUGAGCCAACUACUACACCUGAAUUAACUACCACUACUGAAUUAACAUCAACUACUACUGCACAAACUACAACACCCGAACAAACUACAUCCACUACCAUGGUGCCAACAGCCACUUCACCUGAACCAACUACUACCACUACCAGUGAUCCAACUACUACCCCCGAAAUAACUACCACAACACCUGAACAAGCCACCACUACUUAUUCAACAACUACACCUGAACCAACUACUACUACUGAUGAACCAACAACAUUGACAACAACUGUUAGAACUACAACCACUACCAGUGAGCCAACUACUACACCUGAAUUAACUACCACUACUGAAUUAACAUCAACUACUACUGCACAAACUACAACACCCGAACAAACUACAUCCACUACCAUGGUGCCAACAACCACUUCACCUGAACCAACUACUUCCACUACCAGUGAUCCAACUACUACCCCCGAAAUAACUACCAUAACACCUGAACAAACUACCACUACUUAUACAACAACUACCCCUGAACCAACUCCUACUACUAAUGAACCAACAACAUUGACUACAACUGUUCGAACUACAACCACUACCAGUGAGCCAACUUCUACACCUGAAUUAACUACCACAACACCUGAACAAACAUCAACUCCUACUGCACAAACUACAACACCCAAACAAACUACAUCCACUACCAUGGUGCCAACAACCACUUCACCUGAACCAACUACUACUGCUACCAGUGAGCCAACUACUACCCCUGAAAUAACUACCACAACACCUGAACAAACUACCACUACUUAUUCAACAACUACACCUGAACCAACUACUACUACUGAUGAACCAACAACAUUGACAACAACUGUUAGAACUACAACCACUACCAGUGAGCCAACUACUACCCCUGAAUUAACUACCACUACUGACUUAACAUCAACUACUACUGCACAAACUACAACACCCGAACAAAGUCCAUCCACUACCAUGGUGCCAACAAUUACUUCACCUGAAUCAACUACUACCACUACCAGUGAUCCAACUACUACCCCUGAAAUAACUACCACAACACCUGAACAAACUACCACUACUUAUUCAACAACUACACCUGAACCAACUACUACUACUGAUGAACCAACAACAUUGACAACAACUGUUAGAACUACAACCACUACCAGUGAGCCAACUACUACACCUGAAUUAACUACCACUACUGAAUUAACAUCAACUACUACUGCACAAACUACAACACCCGAACAAACUACAUCCACUACCAUGGUGCCAACAACCACUUCACCUGAACCAACUACUACCACUACCAGUGAUCCAACUACUACCCCUGAAAAAACUACCACAACACCUGAACAAACUACCAUUACUUAUACAACAACUACCCCUGAACCAACUCCUACUACUAAUGAACCAACAACAUUGACUACAACUGUUAGAACUACAACCACAACCAGUGAGCCAACUUCUACACCUGAAUUAACUACCACUACUGAAUUAACAUCAACUACUACUGCACAAACUACAACACCCGAACAAACUACAUCCACUACCAUGGUGCCAACAACCACUUCACCUGAACCAACUACUACCACUACCAGUGAUCCAACUACUACCCCUGAAAUAACUACCACAACACCUGAACAAACUACCACUACUUAUUCAACAACUACACCUGAACCAACUACUACUACUAAUGAACCAACAACAUUGACUACAACUGUUAGAACUACUACCACUACCAGUGAGCCAACUACUACCCCUGAAAUAACUACCACAACACCUGAACAAACUACCAAUACUUAUACAACAACUACACCAGAACCAACUACUACUAUUGAUGAGCCAACAACAUUGACUACAACUGAUAAAACUAUGACCACUACUAGUCAGCCUGAACAAACUGCAACUACACCUGAUCAAUCAAGAACUUCAACUACACACCAGCAAUCUACAUUUAACACCACUGAGAAAACAUCUAAGCCUACAAAAAUUACAACUACUUAUGUAACUACUCUUGGACCAACUACAUCCACUGGACCAACUAAAUCCACUACCAUGGUUACCGCUACUAAACCUGAAAUCAUUACUGCUAUAACUCUUCCAGUGUCUACUUCACAUACAAAUGCAACAACUGGUUCUCCCCCAUCGACAAUGGCAACAAAUCUAAAACUCCUCACAUCUUUAGAGCUCGAGUUAGAUGUAACCUCAUUUGAAAUCAUCAGCGAUGCAAGUAUCACUGAAAUGAUUACACAGGUAAGUAAACAUAAUGUUUUUUUUGUUUUGUUUUUCUACAUGGCACACCUUUUUUUCUUUGCCAGUUUUUAGCAGCCCAAGUCCUGAAUGGAACUGCACACACAAUACGUGUAACUAAUCUGCAAAGGAUUCCAGUAGAUCUAUGAAGGCUUCAACGAGUCGGAACAGAACAAGAAUACUAUUCCGGAGUUUGGAAUAAUUAAGCCCAGAUGGUCCUCUCCUAAAACCCCUCCCUCCAGCUCCUCCAGGGGGAUCCAGGUAGAAGGAGAGACAAGGGGGAAGCAACAUAAGCAAUUUCCCCCUGGGAUUAAUAAAGCGGUUCAGGGAAGGAUUCUGUUGAGGAAU